rnacentral:rRNA from 1 species
AUUGAACGCUGGCGGCAGGCUUAACACAUGCAAGUCGAGCGAGCGGCGGACGGGUGAGUAAUGUCUGGGAAACUGCCUGAUGGAGGGGGAUAACUACUGGAAACGGUAGCUAAUACCGCAUACCCUCAGUUGUGCCCAGAUGGGAUUAGCUAGGAGGUGGGGUAAUGGCUCACCUGGGCGGCGAUCCCUAGCUGGUCUGAGAGUAUGACCAGCCACACUGGAACUGAGAACCGGUCCAGACCCCUACGGGAGGCAGCAGGGGGGAAUAGUGCACAAUGGGCGCAAGCCUGAUGCAGCCAGGCCGCGUGUGUGAAGAAGGCCUUCGGGUUGUAAAGCACUUUCAGCGAGGAGGCGUUACUCGCAGAAGAAGCACCGGCUAACUACGUGCCAGCAGCCGCGGUAAUUC